CUUCAUACAUGGAACCGCGUUCAUUUGUUUCCGUUGUGCAUCUUAAAAGACUCAGAGUUUUACGGCGAAUUAAUUAAUAAGUUAAUGGAUUGAAGAUGUUAUCUAUAAAGAGAGUGCAUACGAAGUCACAGCCUUCUCAUACAAACAAAAACACCAAUUUCCCAAGCAAAAAGAAAAAUGGUUUACAAGAGAAUUGUAUUGAUGGGUGUAUUGUUAGUUAUGGGUCUUCUCAUCACGUCUGAUGUUGCAGAUGCGAGACAAAUCACUCUUACUGAGAAGUCCAAUAAUGUGGAAUCUGAGAAAGAAAACAUUGCUAUGAUGGAAAAUGAGCCUCCGUUUAGAUGCCCCAAUGGGUGCUGUGGAAGAGGAAAGCUCCCUUAUUGCAAUUGCUGCUGAAUUCAUCUCUAAUUAACAUUCAUGCCUCAUGUUUAAUUUCACUUAUAAAUAUCAUAUUGGGAAAUGUAAAAUAACUCAGUUCAUGUGAAUUCCGAUCUGAGCUUAUAUUGUUUGCUUUAUUGUGAA